UAAGGAAUAUUGCUCAAUGGGAGAAAUCCUGAAGCAGCAACGCCGCGUGGAGGAUGAAGGGUCUAUGACUUGUAAACUCCUGUAAAGAAGGAAAAAAUUCCCAUUAGAUGGGAGAUGAUGGUACUUCUGGAGUAAGCCCCGGCUAACUACGUGCCAGCAGCCGCGGUAAUACGUAGGGGGCAAGCGUUGUCCGGAUUUACUGGGUGUAAAGGGUGCUCAGGCGGAUUUGUAAGUCAGAGGUGAAAUCUUACAGCUUAACUGUGAAACUGCCUUUGUUACUGCAAGCCUAGAGUAUGGAAGAGNGUGAUGGAAUAUCUGGUGUAGCAGUGAAAUGCGUAGAUAUCAGAUAGAACACCAAUGGCGAAGGCAGUCACUUGGUCCAUUACUGACGCUAAAGCACGAAAGCGUGGGUAGCAAACA
rnacentral:rRNA from 1 species